GUCCACGCUGUAAACGAUGUCGAUUUGGAGGUUGUGGGCAUGACCCGUGGCUUCCGGAGCUAACGCGUUAAAUCGACCGCCUGGGGAGUACGGCCGCAAGGUUAAAACUCAAAUGAAUUGACGGGGGCCCGCACAAGCGGUGGAGCAUGUGGUUUAAUUCGAUGCAACGCGAAGAACCUUACCUACUCUUGACAUCCAGAGAAUUUUAGCAGAGAUGCUUUAGUGCCUUCGGGAACUCUGAGACAGGUCCUGCAUGGCUGUCGU
rnacentral:rRNA from 1 species